AAUUAGCAUAAAGCUGAAACACAGUCACAUUUCAUAGAGUCACAUUUCGGCUACAAGCACGUAUUUAAAAAACCGACUGUCAGUGGUUUUGUUCUUGUAACGGGUGACGGAGAAUCAGAUAACCUGAGAAAGGGCUACCACAUCCAAGGAAGGCAACAGGCGCCCAAAUUACCCACUCCCAAAACGGGGAGGUAGUGACGAAAAAUGGCAACAAUACGAGACUCUUUUGAGACACCGUAAUUGGAAUGAGUACACUCUAAAUCCUUUAACGAGGAUCAAUUGGAGGGCAAGUCCGCUGCCAGCAGCAGAGCUAAUUUAGCUCCAAUAGAGUAUAUUAAAGUUGUUGCGGUAAAAAGCUCGUAGUUGGAUCUCAGUUCCAAACAGGUGGCCCGUCUACCAGGGGUUACUGGCUGUUCCAGUCGGUUUCCUUUGACGAUCUUCGUCGGUCGUCUUGCGUGUCCGGCAAGUUUACUUUGAGAAAUGGCUUUGUUCUUUUCACUUUUUGGUGUCACAUGCAUAUAUUCGGCUGAAAGUCCCUUUAAAUUGUGGCUAGGAAUAAAUUUCAGUUCAGUAACUGUAGAAUGUAAAAACUAAAAACGCAAAAAUCAGCGUGUUUGUUUAUCAAUUAAACAUGAAAAAUUUCAGUUCACUUAUAAGGUAUUUCUCCCGCCUUCUUGGCAUGCCUUCGUGCUGUAGUGGUCUGCAUGCUCGACGCGUAACCGAGAGGUCAGUGGUUCGAUUCCCGGCGAAGGCGUUCCUCA
rnacentral:ncRNA from 1 species